rnacentral:rRNA from 1 species
ACGAGUUAUCUGAACCUUCGGGGAACGAUAACGGCGGCGAGCGGCGGACGGGUGAGUAAUGCCUAGGAAAUUGCCCUGAUGUGGGGGAUAACCAUUGGAAACGAUGGCUAAUACCGCAUGAUGCCUACGGGCCAAAGAGGGGGACCUUCGGGCCUCUCGCGUCAGGAUAUGCCUAGGUGGGAUUAGCUAGUUGGUGAGGUAAGGGCUCACCAAGGCGACGAUCCCUAGCUGGUCUGAGAGGAUGAUCAGCCACACUGGAACUGAGACACGGUCCAGACUCCUACGGGAGGCAGCAGUGGGGAAUAUUGCACAAUGGGCGCAAGCCUGAUGCAACCAUGCCGCGUGUAUGAAGAAGGCCUUCGGGUUGUAAAGUACUUUCAGUCAAAUUAAAGGCAGCGUCGUUAGGAGCGGCAUUAUUUGACGUUAGCGACACAAGAAGCACCGGCUAACUCCGUGCCAGCAGCCGCGGUAAUACUGAGGGUGCGAGCGUUAAUCGGAAUUACUGGGCGUAAAGCGCAUGCACGUGGUUUGUUAAGUCAGAUGUGAAAC